rnacentral:rRNA from 1 species
GCGAGUGAAGCGGCAACAGCUCAAAUUUGAAAGCUGGCUCCGGCCCGCAUUGUAAUUUGCAGAGGAUGCUUCUGGCAAGGUGCCUUCCGAGUUCCCUGGAACGGGACGCCACAGAGGGUGAGAGCCCCGUAUGGAUGGACACCAAGCCUGUGUGAAGCUCCUUCAACGAGUCGAGUAGUUUGGGAAUGCUGCUCUAAAUGGGAGGUAAAUCUCUUCUAAAGCUAAAUACCGGCCAGAGACCGAUAGCGCACAAGUAGAGUGAUCGAAAGAUGAAAAGCACCUUGAAAAGGGGGUUAAACAGUACGUGAAAUUGUUGAAAGGGAAGCGCUUGUGACCAGACUUGCGCCGGGCGGCUCAUCAGGGGUUCUCCCCUGUGCACUCCGCCCGGCUCAGGCCAGCAUCGGUUCUCGUGGGAGGAUAAGAACGGUGGGAACGUGGCCCCCUCUCGGGGGGGUGUUAUAGCCCACCGUACGAUACUCUCGUGGGGACCGAGGUUCGCGCUCCGCAAGGAUGCUGGC